UAGACCAAAAAAAAAAAAAGCUUCUUAUAUGCCUCUGUCUCUCAAUCACGCCCCCUCUCUCUCUCUCUCUCUCUCCACUGCCGUCGGUACAAGAGCACACGACCACCACUGCCAUUGAUAUCACCGUCACAAACCAGCAGCACCUGAUGGCAGAUCUCGCAGUUACGGAAAACAUUAGAUGCAAAUCUGGAAUACAAAAAUUAACGACCUCUCUCACCUUUACGCGAUCGUUAGUUCGUUUGUGUCAAGUGUUUUCGUGACAGAGAACGAGGAAGAAAGCAACUCCCGAAGCGUAGAGAGAGAAUCUAGAGAGAGUAAAUUAGGGCUAAGGAGGGAAAAAAGUUACAGAGGGUUUUCUCGUUGUUUUUUGGUUUCUCUCAGAGGUUAAAGCCUCUGCAACACAUCCUAUGUGUUUCUAAACCCCAUCAUUACCUUCAUUUUCCAUUUCCAUUACCAUUUUUAGAGAGAAAAUCCCGAGGAAAAGUGAGGAACAUAUAUAGAGAGAGUCGUCUCUGGUGCGAGUUUAUCGAUUGUGGGGGCACAAAUUGGAUCUUGUAGGUUAUUCACAUUGUGGGUAUAUUGGAAAGAGUCAAUGGGUUCACCUACAUUGCGCUUUUGAAGGAAAUUUAGGGUUUGAUCGCUCUCAAUCUAAUUGAUUUAUGAGAAAAUGGUAUUCACUUUCAAUUGAUUUUUGCAACUAUUUUGUUUUUCAUUUUUUGCUUUAAUUUUGAUGAUUUUUGAGUUAUAUUUGCUGACCUUAGGUGGUAAUGGAAGCAAAACAGUCUCCCAUUUCACCAAGUGAUGUUGAGGCUUGAAUAAUUUUCUGUUCCUUAAGCUGGGGUUUUUUUUUUUUUUUUUUAUAUUGUGGUUACUAGUACAAAUAGUGAAGGCACUCAAUACCCAAUUCAAUGUUAUGUUUACCAUUAUCUGAUGUUGAACAUUGAGGAACUUUGCUGAAGCUGGAAAUUUUAUUCGCAUUUAUGGAAAACAUCAGUGGCAAUCGAAGGGGUUUGACAUUGAGAUCGGUGGCCAAAUUUAGAGGCUAGAAUCGACAGAGGCAGCAAUUGAGAUGCGUAGAAAGGGCGGAAUGUAGUGGGGGAAUCAAAAACCCUAAUUUUAUUUCUAUUUUCUCUCUCUCUCUCUCUCUCUCUCUCAUAUAUAUAUAUAUAUAUGUAUGUAUGUAUAAGUAGUUUCAGAUCUCUCUCUCUUCAAUUCAAUUUAUAGAACAUGAUGCAUUACUUUGUUUUGCUUUGAUUGCUUUCUCAGAACUCAAAAACAAAAACAAAAAGGGUUUUCUUGACAACUCCAUUCAGUUCAUCUGAAAUUCUCGUUUUCUCCGAAAUGGGGUUGUGGGAUUCCCUCCUCAAUUGGCUCAGCAGGACAGCCCACUAGAACUUGCUUAGGUAUAUGAGACACGAGACAAACUCAUGGCUACACAUUCAGAGUUGGAUCAAGAGGGCGCUAUUCAAAUUGUAAUAAUAAAGACAACAGGUGAUAAAAUUUUAAGUCAGCCAUUUGCAGCUAUGGGUGGAAACUUGUUUACAAAAGAAAUAGAUGAGGCCCUCAUAUGCUGAAAUCGACAUUGCUGUCCAUUCAAUGAAAGAUGUUCCUACUUAUUUACUAGAUAAGACAAUUUUGCCUUGCAAUCUUCCACGUGAGGAUGUUCGGGAUGCAUUUUUUCCUUGAGUGCAGUUUUGCUAGCAGAGCUUCCAGUUGGAAGCACCGUGGGAAUUGCUUCACUCAGAAGAAAGUCACAAAUUCUCCAUAGAUAUCCAUCACUCAAUAUUUUAUCUAGGCGUUCCUGAUGCUCUCAAAUUUUCAAGCUCAAGAAUAUAUAUUGUCACCACAAAACAGGAACCAACACAUGGGACAGAUUUGAGCUCCGUGUACACAAGCGAGUGGUUGAUCUCUUCAGCUCCCCCCAAAUGUGGUUAAGCAAAUCACCUCUAUUACUAUUGAACCUGAUGUUGAUGUUGAGGUUACAAUUACUGACUCUUAAAAAAUAGUUAGUGUUGUGUGAACCAUUUUCUUUGAUGUUCAACACGGGAUCAAGAUUUGUAGUAGUAAGUUAUUUGGUCAGAGUUUUUAUCGGUGACAAUUUUGAAGUUUAGAAGUUAAGAGUUUGAUGUGACAUACGCCUUGUGAUGUUAUGUUUUUAUUUUUAAGAAAUUCAGAUGCAUGCUAUUUUUUAUUUUUUUGAUCCGCUGAUGGUUGGUAAACUCUCUUGGACUAUUGAUAUCUGGAGAUUGGUUUGUGUUUGAAUAUUGUGCAUAAGGGGAAAACCAGUUACAUGGA